rnacentral:rRNA from 1 species
GAUGAACGCUGGCGGCGUGCCUAAUACAUGCAAGUCGAGCGAACAGACGAGGAGCUUGCUCCUCUGACGUUAGCGGCGGACGGGUGAGUAACACGUGGAUAACCUACCUAUAAGACUGGGAUAACUUCGGGAAACCGGAGCUAAUACCGGAUAAUAUAUUGAACCGCAUGGUUCAACAGUGAAAGACGGUUUUGCUGUCACUUAUAGAUGGAUCCGCGCCGCAUUAGCUAGUUGGUAAGGUAACGGCUUACCAAGGCGACGAUGCGUAGCCGACCUGAGAGGGUGAUCGGCCACACUGGAACUGAGACACGGUCCAGACUCCUACGGGAGGCAGCAGUAGGGAAUCUUCCGCAAUGGGCGAAAGCCUGACGGAGCAACGCCGCGGGAGUGAUGAAGGUCUUCGGACCGUAAAACUCUGUUAUUAGGGAAGAACAGAUGUGUAAGUAACUAUGCACGUCUUGACGGUACCUAAUCAGAAAGCCACGGCUAACCACGUG